rnacentral:rRNA from 1 species
CCUACGGGAGGCAGCAGUAGGGAAUGUUCGGCAAUGGGGGGAACCCUGACCGAGCAACGCCGCGUGAACGAAGAAGGUAUUCGGAAUGUAAAGUUCUUGUAACAGGGAAGAAAGAGAAAGUGGACGGUACCUGAAGAAUAAGCUCCGGCGAACGACGUGCCAGCAGCCGCGGUAAUACGUAGGGAGCGAGCGUUAUCCGGAAGUAUUGGGCGUAAAGGGUGCGGAUAGGGCAUAGUAAGUCUUUUGUAAAAAUGCUGGGCUCAACCCAGUAGGGCAAAAGAUACUGCAAAGCUAGAGUAUGCCAGAGGCAAGUGGCACUACAUUUGUAGCGGUCAAAUGCGUACAUAUAUGU